GCAACACCGCCUUCAGAGCUCUGCUUUUGUUGUUAGCUCUUUGGCAGUUGUCAUUUCAGCAAAAAAAAAAAAGCAUCCACUUAGAAAGGUCAGCUCUUCAUUAGCCAGACAAAUGAGGACAACAUAUUGACCAGCAAUCAAGAGCGAGGGACCCAGGUCUCAGCUUCUGAGAGGCUGGCAUUUCCAGUCCUUUAAUCAUGGCAGCCUGUGAAUAUAUGCUGUCUCGGAGAAGGCAGAUCAAUGGUGCCUGAGGACCUGGGGUCACCAAACAAGGGCUUGGCAAUGGAAAUGAGAUGCAGAUGGGGACAUGGUGUGGAUGAGUGACGACAGAGAAGGGAAAAGACGACAAGGGAACUCACUGAUGUUUUUAAAAUCAUCAGCAUGUCAGAAGUUGCAAUGACCCCAAGGUGAAGAAGCACAUGUUCCUAGCAAGUUUUCUACCAUCCCCCAAAGAAUCUGACCUAACUGUGGCCCCAUACUCUCAGAGUUACCUGAGAUGCCCUUUGAAGUGGCAUCAAGAAAGACUGGGGUCUGAGAUCACAGAGUCACCUGUCAGUUAUUGCAAAGUGUUCGAUGGCUGUGUGACAACUCCUACAAGUUGAUGUUCGGGCAAGGGACGAGCUUAUCAGUCAUUCCAAGGCCUUACUGUGAACCAUCCCACCACGCUGCUACCACUGUCCCUCCUGCAUUCUGUGAAGGAAGAUUACAGACCUCAAAGGCUACUGGUCUGGCCCCUGGUUUGCCCAACCCAAGCUUUGUUGCCAUGGCAACCAUGGCAGCCUUGGUCCAGGAUUCAUCAUUUCUGAAGAGAUGAGUAAAGUCGUUGAACUGGGUUGGCAGAAUGCAGGUAUGGCAGGGAGAGGAGUAGAAACCUAAGGGGACUGGUUAUUGGGCAUAAAGUAACACAGAAAGAAAUUUAUCAUCACAACCUUGAAACAGGCUGUUUAAAAGCUCUGUUCCCAAGAGUGAAGGCUGUAAAUAUGGGGGAGGGGAGGGGGGAGGGCGGCCACCCUCAGAGAGCAGUGUUUGUACUGCACUGUGGCAGGGUGUGGGCCCAGGCGGCAGAGCACUCACUUUGGGGGUGGAGCAAGACUCCGCAGACAUCCAAGUGAGUGCCCAGCCUUAGACUCCAGCCAAAAGCACAGAAAGUCCCUAUUCUGCUUUCUUGGAUGUUGAGUCUGCACUUCCCAAACUAAUUUCUAAUGCUUCUUCAUGAGGUUUGAAUGUUUUGAAAUUUGAAUUCCCAGCCACAAGCUCAACAGUGGUUUAUUUUCUAAACGUAGUCAUUGCCCGUGGGGCCUGGCCUUUUCAUCGUUACAGAGGUAGACUCUUUUGCUAUUUCUAGAUUCCUUUGAGACAAAAGACCUUUAUUGGAAAAGAAAUCAUGACUGAUUAUGCCAAAAAAUUUAUUUUUGUUACCAUUUAAUCUUCAUGAAAGGUGAUAAGUUAAAUUUCUCAAAGAUCAUGGGCAAGGGAUAUACUCUCACAAAACUCCAUGUCUAAUCAAGGGACAUGGGAAGGACUUAAGGCCUAAAUAAUGCAAUAAAAAUAUUGAGUUUAGAAAAUGGACCCAUACAGAACUUAAAAGAUAAAUGAAACAGUCUUAAUAAAAGAAGAGAGCAGGAUUGCAUCUAAAAUGAAUUAAAAUAUUCAGAGGGCUUUCAUUCAACAAAUAUUUAGCAAAUACCUAUUAUUGGGUUGACCAAAAGGCUCAUUCAAUGCAGGAGACAUAAGAGACGUGGGUUCUAUCCUGGGUUAGGAAGAUCCCCUGGAGUAGAAAAUGGCAACCUGCUCCAGUAUUCUUGCCUGGAAAAUCCCAUGGACAGAGGACCCUGGUGGGCUACAGUCCAUGGGGUCAAAAAAGGGUUAGACACAACUGAGCAACUGAGCACACACAAAAGGCCCAUUUGGGUUUUUCCAUAAAGAUCUCACAGAAAAACCUGAACAAAUUUUUUGGCCAACCCAAUAUAUUCUAAGCACUAUAUAGAAGAAAGGAGGGAGGAAGGGAAGGAUAGAAGGGAGAGAAGGAAGAAAGGAAAGGUCUCUGUCAUCCAGUAUCUCCCCAUGGAUAGACAUCCAGACAAACAGACAGUUAAAGACAGUGUCACUACGCUGCAGUGGAAGUACACACAGGUUGCGAUGGAAUCGCAGAAAGAAAGGCAUCCUGACCUCCUAUCCUAGCUGCUUGGUACUUUCAUCCAUCCUGCACGGCACCAUAAGCUCUGUGAGGGUAAGACCCGCUCUCCUUCAUCCUUAAACCACCACACCCCAGCACCAUGCCUGACACAUAGGCAUCACCAAACAAAUGACUGUGGACAAAUGCCUUUAGCUAGAGAGUUGGGGAGGACUUCAGGACAGAGGCAGUAACUGCUUAGAACCUAUUGGUUUAGACGGCAGCAAGUAUUCUCCAGCAGAGUUGCUAAAUUACAAAACCAAGAGAUUACAGAAUCCAUCUGAACGCGCAUGGGUGGGUGAGAGCCCACUUCUCGAGGGAAAACUUCCUCCAUACUUGUCCAUUCAUUUGUGCACUCACCGAAGCAUCUUCCCUGCCCUGGGUCAGUUCAGGUUGCCUUUAGAAAGCCUGAAAGCCCAUCAGAUUUCUGAAGAACCAGAGUUCAGAGGUAUAAGAAUUGUACCACCCUGCUAGGGAAGUAGCACAAGUGGAAAAUCGUAUGAUAGCAAAAAGGAAAAUGGUCUAAUGAUAAAUACUUGAAGUAUAUGUCUCUACUUGAGACGCCACCCAGGAUGGAAAUUUUUCUCCAUUAGGGCCAGAAUCUCCUUUGAAGCAGGUAGCUCUAAGAUCUGUAGCAAGGUGUGUGGAAAGAAAACCAACAAAUUCACAUUUGGGCAAGGCUUUCAAGUUGCCAUUGUUCCCAGUAGGUAAGCCCUGCAAAGUAUUGGGGUGAUGUGGUCUUGCAUGAUGAGUGUGUUCAUAUCUGCCCUCGAGCCAUUCCUGACAGUGGCAAGAAAAUUUGCUACAUAGCUGACUACUGUUCAGCAAUUGCCCGAAUAGAAUGAAGCUGUUUCAUAAUGAUUAGAAAGAAAUAAUCAGCAUCAAUGAGACCCCUAAUUGUGUCCAUAGGAGUUGGUAGGACAAACAGACUAAGAACACGAAAGCUUAAGGAUAAUAUUAGGCUGAAAUUUAGGAUGAAUUUUAAAUUCUUUGAACUAGAAAAGGGACUUCCGGGGAAUGAAUAUCUAAACCUGUACAUGUUCCACAGAGGUUAAUGGAUGUUUUAAGAAACAAAACAUUCUCGGAUCAAAUAAGUUUAAGAAGCUCUAAAUUUCUUUAUUGUAAGACCUCUCAGAGCCUUUAAACUGCUAAUAUGUGUUGUCAGGCUUCAGGACUGAAAAUAGAGUAUACAGCAUUUUCCACACUUCUUUGAGCUUAGAAUCUUUUUUGCAGAAAAAUUUAGGACUAGAGUUCUGUGAAAUUCUCACUGAAAAGGACUUGUCUAAACCACUCUCAAACUGGAGAUUUUUUUUUGUCCCCAUAUGAACAUUAAUCCUAACCUUAGAACUUUCCAGAGAACUAGAUUCUUGGGCCCCAUCUGCAACUCCCUCCUGAUUCUCACAACCUUCACAAUUAAGCGGUCCUCCUUGUGCACUUUAUGGGACUAUUCCUAUGGCAAUAUUAGUUUGUGUCUGCCUUCAAGGAGUAACGGAACCACUUUCUAACACGAGCGCUCUAGUAGGCCUCCCUUGCUUGAUUAAGUUGCACUCGAGGUUUUCCAUCUAUUUCCAGUGCUGUGAAUGUUCGCUCAAGAUUCAUUUCCCAAUUAAUCUCUGGGUUUUCUCCAGACUCUUUCAGUUUUCUCUCCUCACUUUCACUGUGGAAUCUAGAAUGGGCAUCCACCCUCCAGAAAGAGCCUGACCUGCUGAAGGCUGGCUGGGAGAGAAAGGUGUAUAAGGUUGUUAUACAGAAAGCUCAGGAAUUAGGACUCGGUGAGCCGGACUUUUCUCUUGUGCUAGAAAGGGGGAUUUUGAAGGAGCCUGUGAAACAGACACAGGAGUCAUUGCUAACCCUGCCAGGCGCUAGAGUUCUUGUAAAGCAUCCUCCUAGUGGGUGUCAUCUGGUGGCUACAAUAAGCUGACCUUUGGACCCGGGACCAGGCUGACUGUACACGCACGUGAGUAUGACGGUGUGAAUGACCGAGGCAGAGUGACUGACCUUUUGUCUGUGAGAAAACCGGCACUGAUUUAUGGCAAGCUUGAGGAUAUGUGAAGCACUCGUUUCCAUUUCUACAAACUCUCUGGGAACUUGAAAUGUUCCCAUUUCUCAUGUUAAAGAUAGAAGUGCCAAGAGCCAGCUGGGUAAAUGAAAAUCUGAGCAGAACAAUUUACGGAAACAUAAAAAGAGUUGCAGAUACUUGGUGCUUUCAAGUGAAACGGAUCAUAUCAGCACCAGAUAAUCUGAGCAUUCAGGAAAUUAGCUAAAUGCUCUUGGGGGAAAGAGAUGAGUUAAUGGUAAACACAAAUUCUCUUUUAUUGCAGCAGGUAGCUAAAUUCCCUGGAUGGACUAACGACCGUAGUGUGGGGAUAGCUGCUCACAGAAUCUUCCUCUCUGAGAUUGAGUAGAAUUUUGAACUGCUCCCCGGGUAAAAAUGACCCAGACCCCUAUGUGAAUGGCAAAUAUGACAAGGUAUGGAGGCAGGAUGAUGUAGGAUUCACAGCAUAGCUUAGAAGGCUAGCAGCCCUUGGGGGGAGUCUGGAUUUGUCCUCUCCAGCUAAUUAAGUCUUCACUUUCUCAACAGAAAAAUAAAAAUCACCACAUCAUAAUAUGAGAUAAUGCUCGGCAUAUAGCAAGUAAUCAAUAAAAGGCAGCUUUUCUAAAUAAUAUUAAUUAUCAUCAUCAUCAUGAAGGCUUUGUUAUUCUAAAGCUUCAUUAUUGUAAAGGGAAAGGGGAACAAUUUCUAUGGGAAAUAGGAAACCUAAGAAACAAAAGCCAGGGACCCUUCUCAGAUGGUGCCCUCAGAACCUGGUAGGUUCCAGCAGGUUAAUGUCAGGACAGUUAUUGCAAAGACCUUACCCUCGGUGGAGAUUCAGCACUGAUAAGUUAAACUUUGGAGCAGGGACCAGACUGAGUGUCCAACCAAGUAAGUAAUGCGGGGCAAAGGUGGCCACUGACAGCUAAUUCUUCUUUGUCUGAGAUGCCCAGUUGAGCCCGGGUGCUUUCUUCUGUUGAAUCCCAAAAGGUUCUUUCCACCCAUCCCAGAACAUCCUCUCAUCCUGUACUCAAUGCUCAGGAAACACCCUUGGGCCAGAACCUGAAACAUCAUGAGUCAGAUGAUGGGCAAGGAGUCCUGGACCUUUUCACAAGAGGAUCCAAGACACUGUUGUCCUGAGCAGAGGAGGUCGUCUACUAAAUUCUGUGUUUAUGGAAAUCAGAACCUCCAAUCCAGGGCACUAUAGCAGGAUGGGGCAGGAAGAAAAGGAUUAAGAGACAAAGACUCAACACUGAACAGCAGAAGGUCUAACUCUAAAGAGUGUGAUCCUCUGUCCCCUCUGAGAGACCAGUGUUUGUCACUGAAGUAGGAGGCAGGGCCAGUGAGUUUCUGUAAUGGUAUCCCCAGCAGUGUGGAUACAGGAGGAGUGAUGAGUAAACUCACGUUUGGGAAAGGAACCCAAGUGUCCAUAAUAUCUGGUGAGUCAUUCCAGGUGGCACCAUUUGUAGCCCCAUGGACCAGUGUUGCUAAACUUUUCCCUGGGGAUCUUGGUAUUACUAUGGCAAGGCUAACUGUGAGUGUUAUAACUGUCUUACAGAGGCCUCUGUGAAUGGAAAAGGCAAUACUAUUGAUCUUGAAAAUCUGUGUUUCUCUAGGUCAAACACAUUAAAAUUUGACUUUAAUCAUUCAACAGAUAACUUUAAAUGCCUUCUCUGAGGCCAUCAUUCUAUAAAACGUGAGACUGAGUGUGAAUAUCUAAGAGAGAUGCCUGAACUGUCUCCAAACAGUAUAAAAACUAGUCAAAGAGACCAAGGUAUUAUAAAUUUUGCAACCUGAAAACCAUUUUUGUGUCAACCAGCUGAUGAUGUUAACAGGCACGGUAGAGAUUCAGAGAAAUGGGGUUCUGGCUGAAAAGUUGGGCUACAUGGAGAAGGUUUUAUGAAGUAGAAAGAAUUUGUUGAGGCUAAAGGAUAAAUUAAGAUCUAUUUGGGCAAAGCAAGGAAAUGAGGGGACUUCCAGGCAUAAGAAACACCAAGAAAGAGGGCUUUAUCUCAGGAAUGAACAAGGCAUGUGCAUUUUGGCCAAGUAAACACUCUGAUAAUGAAGUUAGAUGGAGAGAAAGCCAAAGAUGUCUUCAGAAACAAUGGAGAAAAGGCAUGCUAGAGCCUUCAGGAUAAUAUAGACCAUUAGGCCCAAGGCCAGCCACUGGGAAACAGGGAAACAGUUCAGAAAUGCAGACCAGAGGUGAAGGUGAGAGAGGCCAGCUCUUCCCAUGGACAGCUCAUGGCCUGGACCACCCUCCUUUGUUGCUCAGUGGGCUGUAAGAGCCCAUCCGUCAGAGGAGAGGAAACCUAAGGCUUUCUGUAAUGAAGACAGUGAGAGUGAGAUGGAGGUGUUGCCUCCCAGAUGCAGUUUGGCAAGGGAACCAGAGUCUCCAUCACUCCAGGUAUGUCUGUGAAGGUUCACUGCUUCCUGACACUCACGAAGGCCUCAGUGGAACUCAAACUCAAAGUCAGAACUGCUCACCCACAUUUAGGCUUCCUGGUGCCCAACUUCCAAACACAGAUUUGGUGGUAAGGGAGUUUUCCGUCAUUGCUGUGCCCUGGGGAUCUUAGGCACUAGAGCCUUGGAACAUGUGCUUCUGUGGCUAAUUCUGAAUUAAAGUGAAUGGUGAGGAUCUAGAAAUAGCUGGGCUUCCACACUGAAAAGUUGAUCCAGUCUUGCUAAGCCUACCUUCUGAGAUGUCAUCAGUGGUAGGAGGCGUUUAUCUUACUAAAGUGGAACAGGAUGUUUUUCUCCCAGGGCUCUGGCAGAUGGACCCCUAAAGAUCUCCAAAUUAAUAAUGACUCAUUCUUUGUUUUCAGACAAAAAUGUUGCAUUGAGGUACCUGGGGAUAAAAGAAAAGGGGCUUUAUUUUUUAAGGACUUCUUCUUUAGCAUUUAUUUUCAUUUAUUUACUUGACUGUGCCAAGUCUUGGCUGUAACCAAUAUCUUUAGCUGUACCAUGAGAACUCUUAGUUGUGCCAUGUGGGAUCUAGCUCCCUGAUCAGGGAUCGAACCUGGACUCCCAGCACUGGGAGCCCAUUCUUAGCCACUGGACCGCCACAUAAGUCCCUAAAAGAGGGCUUUAAAAAGCCAAGUUUAGGGAUCAAUAUCCAGGGGGUUUUUUACCAAAAAGUCUAAUUAGUAGCAAUUUUCCAAAUCUGAUGGUCACUAGGCCACUUAUUUAUCCCACAAUUAUUUCUUGAGCACCUAGUAUAUGGCAAAGACUAGGGACACAUCUAGGGACAGGUCCUAGUUGUCACAGAGCUUAUAUUCCAGGGAGCCAGGGUGAAGAGUUUUGUCCAGCUGUACUCAUACAGGGCAUAUAAAGGACUUGAGAGAGGAAAUUCAAGCACUCCAAAUCGUGGCAACCACCCAAUGCUGUGCCACGAAGUAUGGGCAUUGUCCUAUAGGCAAUAGGAGUCUCUGGAGUAUUUUGAACAGAAAGUGACUCGAUCAGCUCCAUGUUUUAAACAGCUCAUUUGGAGGAUGAGCUCAAAGAAAAGACUGCAGUGGGGGGAGCAGGAGAGGGUGAGUAAGAAGGAAACCAGGGGCAAGGAAGCUGGGCAGGAGAAACAAGAGCAAAAAUGCAGUGGGGAAAGCCCAAGGGUAUCAGCUGGUAAAAACAAGAAUUGAGAGGGGCUAAAAAUCACCCCGAUUCUCUGACCGCACUAACUGCUCUUUCAUUUUGAUCUGUCACUAGCAAAGUUGAGCAACAGUAAGCCUGCCCUGGUAUCACCCUUCAAGGAUCUCAGCUGGCUUUAGUCUCACUCUCAGCCCCCUCAGCCUUACCUUGUGGUCCGUGGCAUCGCACCCUCCAGACCAAUGCCGUCCGAUAGAACUUUCUGUGACAGUGGAAAUAUUCUGUCAACCUGCACUGUCCUACACUGUAGGCAUCAGCCACAUGUGGCUACUGGGGUCUCAACAUGAAGGUUUAAUUGCUAAUUGGAUUUUUAAUUUUACUUGAUGUUUGUUGUUCAGUCGCUCGGUCGUACCCGACUCUUUGUGACCCCGUGGGCUGCAGCGCACCAGGCUUCCCUGUCCUUCUCAAUCUCCCGGAGUUUGCUUGGUGUUGGUUAGUGUAGCUAAAGACUAUCACACUGGACAGCAUGGUCUAGACCCUCUCCAGACUGACAGCCACUGGCUCUGGGAUCUAAGCGAGAGUUUCACCAGGACUCAGAGUCAAGUAUCUGGCCCCCAUAACAACCCCCUUCUCCCUCUGAGGUCGACCUGUGUCUGGUGCACUUUAACCUCGGCUCUCUUGAGGCCACGUUCUCUCAGCACUUCCACACCCUUCCACAUCACCCUCUCUGGUCCCACCCAUAGCUCCCACUAACUACUGACACAUCCACUGGGGUGUGGUAUUAGCUAAUGGCUUCCCGUCUCUCCCCUCCCAGUAAAAGAUUUCUGCUGUAAAUCCUUAACCCACAGUGCUGUCGUCCUCUCAGGCACAUGGAGAUUGGAGGGGAGCAGGCAGAAUCCUUUGAAGCCAGAGCUUUGGGUGUCGCUCGCAUGUGACCAUGGACAACCCUACCCAUAGGCAGCUCCACCUUGAUUCAGCAUCCCAAGGCCAUGCCAAGGGCUGAUUCCCCUGGUUUUCAUCCAGCUGGAUAUCUGCAUUGCCAAGGCCACCCUGACUGGCUCAGCGCACGGGGUGCAUCAUGCGUCAC
ensembl:lncRNA